rnacentral:rRNA from 1 species
UACGUAGGGGGCUAGCGUUGACCGGAUUUAUUGGGCGUAAAGAGCUCGUAGGCGGUCUGUCGCGUCGGAUGUGAAAGCCCGGGGCUUAACCCCGGGUCUGCAUUCGAUACGGGCAGACUAGAGUGUGGUAGGGGAGAUCGGAAUUCCUGGUGUAGCGGUGAAAUGCGCAGAUAUCAGGAGGAACACCGGUGGCGAAGGCGGAUCUCUGGGCCAUUACUGACGCUGAGGAGCGAAAGCGUGGGGAGCGAACAGG